UACGUAGGGUGCGAGCGUUGUCCGGAAUUACUGGGCGUAAAGGGUGCGUAGGCGGCGGGGUAAGUCUGAUGUGAAAUCCUGGGGCUCAACCCCAGAACUGCAUUGGAUACUGCCUUGCUAGAGUACUGGAGAGGAAACUGGAAUUUACGGUGUAGCAGUGAAAUGCGUAGAGAUCGUAAGGAAGACCAGUGGCGAAGGCGAGUUUCUGGACAGUAACUGACGCUGAGGCACGAAGGCCAGGGGAGCAAACGGG
rnacentral:rRNA from 1 species